AAUCAACGCUGGCGGCGUGCCUCAGACAUGCAAGUCGAACGAUUAAAGCUCUCUUCGGAGAGUGUAUAGAGUGGCGCACGGGUGAGUAACACGUAAGUAAUCUACCUUCGAGUGGGGAAUAACGUCCGGAAACGGACGCUAAUACCGCAUAAUGCAGCGGCAUCGCAAGAUGACAGUUGUUAAAGACUUAUCGCUUGAAGAGGAGCUUGCGGCAGAUUAGCUAGUUGGUAAGGUAACGGCUUACCAAGGCUACGAUCUGUAUCCGGUCUAAGAGGACGGUCGGACACACUGACACUGAAUAACGGGUCAGACUCCUACGGGAGGCAGCAGUCGGGAAUUUUGGGCAAUGGGCGAAAGCCUGACCCAGCAACGCCGCGUGAAGGAUGAAGUAUUCGGUAUGUAAACUUCGAAAGAAUAGGAAGAAUUAAUGACGGUACUAUUUAUAAGGUCCGGCUAACUACGUGCCAGCCGCCGCAAGU
rnacentral:rRNA from 1 species